GACGAACGCUGGCGGCGUGCCUAAUACAUGCAAGUAGAACGCUGAAGGAGGAGCUUGCUUCCCUGGAUGAGUUGCGCACGGGUGAGUAACGCGUAGGUAACCUGCCUGGUAGCGGGGGAUAACUAUUGGAAACGAUAGCUAAUACCGCAUAAUAGCAGUUGUUGCAUGACAACUGUUUGAAAGGUGCACUUGCACCACUACCAGAUGGACCUGCGUUGUAUUAGUUAGUUGGUGGGGUAACGGCUCACCAAGGCGACGAGACAUAGCCGACCUGAGAGGGGGAGAGGCCACACUGUGAAUGAGACACGGCCCAGACACCCACAGGAGGCAGCAGUAGAGAAACUUCGGCAAUGGGCGGAAGACUGACCGAGAAACGCGGCGUGAGUGAAGAAGGUUUUCGGAUCGUAAAGCUCUGUUGUAAGAGAAGAACGAGUGUGAGAGAGGAAAGUUCACAAUGUGACGGUAACUUACCAGAAAGGGACGGGUAACUACGUG
rnacentral:rRNA from 1 species